ACUACAAAUUGCAGACAUCUUGACUAAGGCUUUGAGUUCUCAAAGUUUUUACUUUUGCAUGUCCAAGAUGGGAGUAAUGGAUAUAUACUCUCCAUCUUGCGGGGGGCUAUUAAAGUUAGAAGAUAGCUCAGCUGGAACACUGGAAGGAAGCAGGGUCGAAGAUGGCGCAGCUGAAAUAUUGGCAAGAAGGAAACCACGUGGACUUACUGUACAGCUGGAGAAAUAAUCACAUGGAAUUGAUGACAGAGCAAUGGCAGAAUAAUCUAGAAAGAAAUUGGUUGGGCAAGUUAGAUUUGUUGACAGCAACCUCUCUCUCUCUGUGUAAAUUUGUUAGGAA
rnacentral:lncRNA from 1 species